CGAUCAUUACAAUGAUUCAUGAUCUAAUCUAAUCCAGGUUUAGGACACGCCGCUAAAGACAAUAAAGAAGAGGGACCAACUCAAUCACACAAUGAUGGGCUCUUUGGGGAUAAGAUUAAUGGUUGAAACAUUAUGGAGAGAAAUAAAGUAUACAGUUGGCUUUUGAUGUUCUCAUGUAGUGGCUAGUGCAUCAUCAUUCCCGUGGUGACCCCCAAGAACAAAGAAGAAGAAGAAGAGCAUAUAAAUUUGGAAGAAGAGUAAAUCUUCAGAAAAGCUAAAUCAAAGCACUUUUGGACUUUGCUUCAGCUUCAACUUCAAACUUUGAUCAUCCACAUAUAUAGAGCCAGGAAAUGGCCAAGGACAAAGGGAUUAUGAAAGUUGAAAUUCCUGCCGAUGGCAAUUCUGCGGCGGAAACUGGCUCUGGUGGGUUAUCUCGUCAGACAAGCAUGAAUAAGACCAACUGCCUUUGCUCGCCAACCACUCACCCUGGUUCUUUCCGGUGUAGGAUGCACCGGACUCUUUCACUACCGCGUACCAAGAGUAUCGAGGCAGCAUCUCUAUCGGAUCCUUCAUCCAAGCCAGCGAGCCGCUAAAUAGAUAUCUAUGGCAUGGCAACUGCUUGUUGUUGUUACUUGUACUUCAAUCAAUAAAUGGUGAAAUAGGUUUGUUUUCAACAAUAUGUAUUAAUUGUAACCAUGAAGGGUUUGAGCUAAUGGUUCCUAAAAAGGUGAAUAUAAACUCCCCUUCCAUCCUCUUUGGGAAGAGAUUAAAACUCUCUCCACCUACGCAUAUAUAAUGUAAAGAUUUAGAUGUUGUUACUCUUAUAUUUUUAGUACA